UGGUCCGGCAUUAACUUUGACCCGGUGGAGGAGGCUUUGUCAUGGGAACCAGUGUGUCCUGUUGCCGUGGUGAUCUCACUGUGCCAAAAACGAGGGGAUGAUGAGUGUGACGAUCUGGCUGGUUCAUCACAGACCCUCAGCAGGGAAAAGAUAACAUUCUCCAGAGUGGAUCCACACCCACAGCUUUGUAUGAAGUUUACCACAGAUUCUGGAUCCUGGAUCCGGUGCCCCUUUGCAGAUGGGAAUUUCCAAG